UAGUCCACGCUGUAAACGAUGUCGAUUUGGAGGUUGUGCCCUUGAGGCGUGGCUUCCGGAGCUAACGCGUUAAAUCGACCGCCUGGGGAGUACGGCCGCAAGGUUAAAACUCAAAUGAAUUGACGGGGGCCCGCACAAGCGGUGGAGCAUGUGGUUUAAUUCGAUGCAACGCGAAGAACCUUACCUACUCUUGACAUCCAGAGAACUUAGCAGAGAUGCUUUGGUGCCUUCGGGAACUCUGAGACAGGUGCUGCAUGGCUGUCGUCAGCUCGUGUUGUGAAAUGUUGGGUUAAGUCCCGCAACGAGCGCAACCCUUAUCCUUUGUUGCCAGCGGUUCGGCCGGGAACUCAAAGGAGACUGCCAGUGAUAAACUGGAGGAAGGUGGGGAUGACGUCAAGUCAUCAUGGCCCUUACGAGUAGGGCUACACACGUGCUACAAUGGCAUAUACAAAGAGAAGCGACCUCGCGAGAGCAAGCGGACCUCAUAAAGUAUGUCGUAGUCCGGAUUGGAGUCUGCAACUCGACUCCAUGAAGUCGGAAUCGCUAGUAAUCGUAGAUCAGAAUGCUACGGUGAAUACGUUCCCGGGCCUUGUACACACCGCCCGUCACACCAUGGGAGUGGGUUGCAAAAGAAGUAGGUAGCUUAACCUUCGGGAGGGCGCUUACCACUUUGUGAUUCAUGACUGG
rnacentral:rRNA from 1 species